rnacentral:lncRNA from 1 species
AUCAGCCCUUCGUCUGAGGCUUUUUAUUUUCCUAGCUCUCCUUGAGCGGAGGGGGGAAAAAUUAUUUCUUGCCCUGGAUGAGAAAGCUCACUGUUUUAUCCACUCUCCUGCACUCUGAGUGUUAAACAUCUAGCCCACCGAUGACCUCCCACAAUUUCAGAAACUCUCCCGCAGGAAACACAGAGGACAGGAGGGACCAGCAAGGAGGAGAUCCGAAGCCUGAUCCUGCUGGGGCCUGGCCUCUCGGAACUCUGCGGCCAGCCGGCUGUCCUCUGUAAAGUGGAGAAGAUGACAAGACCCGCUCUAUUCCCGAUCUGGGGAGAUGUGAAGAUC